GAUGAACGCUAGCUACAGGCUUAACACAUGCAAGUCGAGGGGCAGCAUGGUCUUAGCUUGCUAAGGCCGAUGGCGACCGGCGCACGGGUGAGUAACACGUAUCCAACCUGCCGUCUACUCUUGGACAGCCUUCUGAAAGGAAGAUUAAUACAAGCUGGCAUCAUGAGUCCGCAUGUUCACAUGAUUAAAGGUAUUCCGGUAGACGAUGGGGAUGCGUUCCAUUAGAUAGUAGGCGGGGUAACGGCCCACCUAGUCUUCGAUGGAUAGGGGUUCUGAGAGGAAGGUCCCCCACAUUGGAACUGAGACACGGUCCAAACUCCUACGGGAGGCAGCAGUGAGGAAUAUUGGUCAAUGGGCGCAGGCCUGAACCAGCCAAGUAGCGUGAAGGAUGACUGCCCUAUGGGUUGUAAACUUCUUUUAUAAAGGAAUAAAGUCGGGUAUGUAUACCCGUUUGCAUGUACUUUAUGAAUAAGGAUCGGCUAACUCCGUG
rnacentral:rRNA from 1 species